AUUAGUUAUUCCAAAUUUUGACCCUUUGUGGGGGAGGUACUAGAAGGAGUAGUUCAAUCUUGUCCAUUCUCGCACCUAAUCUUGGGGUAAUGCAAAUAUUACGAUUUGCAAAGUUUGAAGAAAAUCAAAUAAUCCGUUAUGUUUAUAUGCGGUGAACCAUUUUCAAUGAAAUUUUUGAACAUUUGUGGGGGAGGUACCAGAAGGAGUGGACCGAUAUUGCCCAUCUCCGAACUCGAUCUAAGUUUGACAAAAAUAUUACGAUGCUAGAUCGACUCCAAAUGUCCUGAAACGGAUUUGGUCCAAAGAGACCUAGGGUCUAAAACCGUUAUUUCGGCUAGGCACGUUUUGACCGUAUCAAAUGAUACAUACCCUCUUUAGCCAUAUGGCUGAGGGUAUAAAAA